rnacentral:lncRNA from 1 species
AUGUGUAACUGCACGGCCCACAACCUUUCCUCCCAGGUGUCAGGUGUCUUUGUCCCUCUUGGGACAACGGGGGGGCUGAAGGCAGUGACCCGUCCUGCUCACUCCCUCCCACACCAGCCUCCUGAGGCUGCAGCAGGGAGCACCUCCUGCCCCAGGGAGCACUUCCUGCCCUGGGGAGCACCUCCUGCCCCGGCGAGCACCUCCUGCCCCGGGGAGCACCUCCUGCCCCGGGGAGCACCUCCUGCCUCAGGGAGCACCUCCUGCCCCGGCGAGCACCUCCUGCCCCGGGGAGCACCUCCUGCCUCGGGGAGCACUUCCUGCCCAGGCUUUGCAUUUGUAGGGCCUCUGCCUGGAGCACUUCCCCAGACCCCCGGCAUCUCUCCAGUCACAUCCUCCCUCUGGUGUCACUUCCCGGCAGGGCCCUCUCCCACGGUCUCUUCAGUCUGUCCCCACCCUGCCCCUGCCCUCCUGUCUCCUUCCUCACGCCAGGACAGCAUCUUGUGUGUGCCAGUUUAUUCGCUGUUUUCAUGGGACCCAAAGCACAGACAUACGUGUGUCCCCGGUGCAGGCCUGGCACAUGGAGGUGGGGAUUUUGGCCCCGGGGGAGAGCUGGCCCCAGCCGGAGGAGCUGGGUGGGCUGCUCCUGCUGAGGGGAGAGACCUGCAUGCCCCGACCCUGACCGGCUGCUCAGGGCCCUUCUGCAGCUGUCCCGGGAGAAGCAGGAGCCCAUUCCGCAGAGCUGAGGAGGGGCAGAGUUUGAGAAGGGCACGAGGGGAAGAAGCGCGAGGGGCCCACAGUGAGAGGGGGUGCUGCGGGUCCCAGCAGCAACACACCGCGAGAGCCCCCGGGGGCAAGGCUGCCGGCGACGCGGGCGCCUGGGACCUGCCACGUGGACACCGCCCGUGGGCUGUCCCUCCUCAGGCUCAUUCAGGAAAUGAGCUCUGUCCUCCUCCUCUUCUGGGCCGCUUCCAGGGGAGGCUGGAGCUGCAGGCCGGGAGGCGGGCCCUGGCCGCGGAUCUGCUCCUUGUUCUGCCCCCUGCACGGGGCUGGGAGCCCUCCUUGUCCCCUCUCCCUACCAGCCUCCCCCCACACAAGCCACACCCCAACUCCACCGGCCCCAGAGACCCGAAGCCCAGGCCAUGCGUGGGUUUGUUGGGAGCCUGGGUCUGGGGAUGCAGCCAGGGUCAGCUGCCCCUGCAGCCCCCACAUCUUCCAGGGUGGGGGUCCCUGGAAACCCCUAGAGCCUCAGAGCUUCUUCAGCACAGAGCAGUGAACACGGCCUGUGCUGAGAGCCGGGUGGGAUGUCCAUCUGCACCACCACCCGGCCAGUUGCUUCCUCUCCAAACCUAG